UACGGAGGGUGCAAACGUUGCUCGGAAUCAUUGGGCGUAAAGCGCACGUAGGCGGCCUGAUAAGUCGGGUGUGAAAGCCCUGGGCUCAACCCAGGAAGUGCACUCGAAACUGUCAGGCUUGAAUAUGGAAGAGGGUCGCGGAAUUCCCGGUGUAGAGGUGAAAUUCGUAGAUAUCGGGAGGAACACCAGUGGGCGAAGGCGGCGACCUGGGCCAAUAUUGACGCUGAGGUGCGAAAGCGUGGGGAGCAAACAGG
rnacentral:rRNA from 1 species